AUUGAACGCUGGCGGCAGGCCUAACACAUGCAAGUCGAGCGGAUGAAGGGAGCUUGCUCCUGGAUUCAGCGGCGGACGGGUGAGUAAUGCCUAGGAAUCUGCCUGGUAGUGGGGGAUAACGUCCGGAAACGGGCGCUAAUACCGCAUACGUCCUGAGGGAGAAAGUGGGGGAUCUUCGGACCUCACGCUAUCAGAUGAGCCUAGGUCGGAUUAGCUAGUUGGUGGGGUAAAGGCCUACCAAGGCGACGAUCCGUAACUGGUCUGAGAGGAUGAUCAGUCACAUGGGAACUGAGACACGGUCCAGACUCCUACGGGAGGCAGCAGUGGGGAAUAUUGGAUAAUGGGCGAAAGCCUGAUCCAGCCAUGCCGCGUGUGUGAAGAAGGUCUUCGGAUUGUAAAGCACUUUAAGUUGGGAGGAAGGGCAGUAAGUUAAUACCUUGCUGUUUUGACGUUACCAACAGAAUAAGCACCGGCUAACUUCGUG
rnacentral:rRNA from 1 species